rnacentral:misc_RNA from 1 species
CGGCAGCAGUGGCAGAAAGAACGGCAGGAGCAGCGAUGUUUCCAUGUGUGACGUUUUCAUCGUUAUCAUCGACAAUAUUAAAACUAACAGAAACAACAACAGCAACAACAACAACAACAACAAAAGCAGCAACGGCAGCAGCAGCAGCAGUUACAGCCACAACAAGAACACCAAUUACAACUACUACUACUACUACUACUACUACUACUACAACUACUACUACUAUUACUACAACAUCAGCCGCAACAUAUAACGUGUACAAAAAGAAGCUUUAUCAGUGCAAUUACCACUACUGCUGCUUCCUCUACGGCCAACACCAGCGAAUAUCAUCUCCAGUAGGAUCUUCACUACUAUUAUUACUAGCCCUGAAACAACAACAUCAACAACAACUACUAAUACUACUACUACUACUACUAAUACUACAAAGGCCGCGACUGUUGUCACUACUAAUACUACUACAACUACUGCCACUACUACUACUACUACUACCACUAACACUACCACCACCACCACCGUCGCUGUUAUUCUACUACAGCAACACUUGCAGUUGGCUUUGGGAAAUGUGCAUUACACCAUCUUUCAGAAACUGCUAUUGGUGCAACAACAAAACUGUGCACCCAGACACACUGACGAAGUUCUUGCGCGGAUUUACCUGUCUUUUUGGUUUGCUGCAGCCGACAUAGGAAGCAUCCAGCAUUGCAGAUACUGUGGAUCUCGUGUUUAAUCAGUUAGGAAUAAGAACCAUUCACCUUGCACUCCUUACGAAUGUGUGGAAGUAAAUAUAAAGGAAAACGGACGUACGUUGCAAAGGAAUAUGGCAGAAAGGGAUUGAAAUCUUUGAAGAACAUUACUAGUAUCGAACAGAGAAAUAUGAACGGCAAUCAGAAUAAAAUAUAUACCAACACACAAAGAAACCUACACACACACAUACACACACAAAGAACAUGUUCUAUGAAAAUUCUGCUGGUAUAAAAUAAAUGACCAUCCCAUUCGUAAUGAUUACGAUGAGAGGAAAGAGAAUUAUCACGAUGAAAAUGCUACCACCGACACCGACACCAACACCAACACCAAUAACAACAGUUUUAUUGCAAAUAGAAAGAGCAUCAAUUACAGCAAACAAAACAUAAAACAAUAUGACGACGAAAAAAAUAAUUUAAAUUGUGAUACAAAUAUAGUUAUAUCUUUUACAUUAUCAACACCAUUAACAAUAAUAAAUAUCACAGUAAAAGGCAGAAAAGUGUUUACAUAAAAAAAGAAACAAACAAAAAAAAGAAAAAAAACAGCAAAAUACAAUAUGUUGCUAAGUCUGCUAUACAGUUAUUACCCUUUAUUUUACUACUACAACUACUGUAACUACAGCUAAAUCUACUACUACUACUACUACUACUACUACUACUGCCGCUACUACUUCAUUCGGCACUACUGUAGCUGCUGAUGAAAGUGGUGAUAAAUCCCAGUCAUUUUGGAAAGUGUAUUUCAUCAUUUGGACAUUGUAAAUCUUACAGAGGUGGAGGAGGAGAAAGUAUUCGGGAACAAAUAAUCAGCUUUUGUUGUAGCCGACAG